ensembl:lncRNA
AUGGUUCCCCCUGGCUGCAAUGAGAAGCCUUCAGAGGUUCUAGGGGUCACAUGGGACUUGGAAGACCGCUGGAGUGUUCCCAGGCAUACUGCCUCCUCUAGGAGCCAAGGAAACACAGGAAAGGCGCCACAGGACACGAAGGGUGUUUCAGUGACAUCUCUGACGGUGUUCCUGUGCUGGAGCUGCUGGGAAUGGGGAAGGCCGAGGAGGGAGCCGGAGCAAGUGCUGGGACAGAACAGUGCCAGUUUCCCAGAAGCUGGAGUCCCUGGUUUCUAAUUUCCCAGGACAGCUGGGCCUGUUGAAAUUCGGAGAAGGAACACAUGAAAGAGGAAUGGAGAGCCUUGUGCUCAUGACUCAGAGAUGCCCAGAGGAGGGUGGGAGCCUUGUGAGGGGAUGACCUUGUGAUGAGAGGGAACAAGAACAAAAGCUGGAGGCAGAACUUUGAGAUGGGGGUGUCAGAGGGGCUUUUCUGAAAUGGGAAAGUGAGGACAUGGGCAGAUUUUGCAACACCACCCCGCCUGCUGUCUUCUCAAGUCUCGGCUCCCCAAACCCCGCCUGUUCCCCCUGCCCCACCCUGUGCUUCCUCCCAUCUUUCACCAAGCUCCUGUUCUAUUUCUGCUUUCCCUGUCCUUCUCCCAUCCUGCUCCCCACACCCCCUGUACACUCUUUCCCUGUUCCCUCUGUCCUCUUCCCUGGUACCCUAUUCAUUUCUGUUUCAGUCACUCUGGCUGCCUGCCCUGGCCCCUGUCCUAUGCUUUAAUGUGGGGCCCAUGGGAACUGGAGUUCACAGCAAAACAGGAAGAGUCUGUGAGCAGGAAGCUGGGAGUGGGGCAUGGGGUGAACAGUCAGCAGUAACCUCAGCUCCUCGCUUCCCACAUCUGGACUGAAGCAUCCCCAGAGCACUCUGCCUCUCCCACUGCAGCCCCCCAGCCCUGGUUUCCUCCAUUUCAGCGCUUCACUGGUCCAGCAGACCUGAGAGGCAACCAGACAAGAGUAUCCUAGACUCUGGCACAGGAGAAAGAGUACAGGGACUGGAGUGAGGACAUCUGGGUUCUCAUCCCAGCUUGGCCCCUGUGUGUGGCCUUCUGGAAGCCCCUCCCACAAGCUUAGUCUUCUCUCUAAGAUGGAGCUUGUGUUGUUGACCCUCUCUCCUGGGGCUGCUCUAAGAACCAAAGAGGUAGUGAGGGGGUUGGAUGUGGAAAUAAGCACUGGCAGGUUAACAGUGCACAGAUUCAAGGUGAUGGGAAGUCCCAUAGUUGAAAGGAUUGCAAAUGUCGUAACUGCUACCAUUUAUUGAACACUUAACUAAGAUCACACAGCUAAUAAAAGACAAAGGCAAGGUCAGGAUUUGAACCCAAAAACCUGAGCCCAGAGCCCCAAAUCAAUAUGCUGAGAUGAAAUUGACUGGAGCAUCAAGUAUAGGAUAGAAGGGGGUCAUAUUAUUUUUCUUGUUUACUUACUCAUUUAACAAGCAGAAACACAGUACCUACUCUGUUGCCUGCUCUAUGCCAGGCCCUGAUCCAUGGGCUACAUGGGAGAUAAAGUCAAUAAAACAUGGUGCCUACCUUCAGGGAUGGAGCUUACGUUCCAGGCAAUAGGACAGGGGGACUAAGUCUAUCAUCUCAGUAGUUUCUGGACAGAGGCUGCCAUCACUUCAGAUGGAGCUGUUCCCCAGAUGAUGGAACGUGCAUACCUUCCCAAGUCAUCCUGGGCUGGCACCUGGGUCACUUGCCAUCUCUACCUCCACCCCUAUCAAAGGCCUGUCAUUGCUCCU